UUGGGUGAAGCGGAGGGACAUUACAGAGUUGAUUCAACUCCUACAACCCCAUGUGAAUAUACCAUACGUUGCCUCGGCAGGGCCGCGUCCCUCCCCCCCUCCGCGGGGUGGGGGGGCGCGGGCUCACCCUGCCGGCGGCCUUUGAACUCUUUUUUUUUUGGCAUUGUAAUUCUGAUUUACUUUUUGAUAUUUUUCAAUUGGUUAAAACUUUCAACAACGGAUCUCUUGGUUCUGGCAUCGAUGAAAAACGCAGCGAAAUGCGAUAAGUAAUGUGAAUUGCAAAAUUCAGUGAAUCAUCGAAUCUUUGAACGCACAUUGCGCCCACCAGUAUUCUGGUGGGCAUGCCUGUUCGAGCGUCAUUUCAACCCCUUAAGCCUCUGUCGCUUAGUGUUGGGGGCCUACGGAUCUCCCGUAGCCCCUGAAAGUUAGUGGCGGUGUCGGCUCGCACUCUAAACGUAGUAAAUUUUAUUUUCCAUCUCGCCUAUCGUGUGUGCCGGUCCCCUGCCGUAAAACACCCCCCUAUAUCAAAAGGUUGACCUCGGAUCAGGUAGGAAUACCCGCUGAACUUAAGCAUAUCUA
rnacentral:rRNA from 1 species